rnacentral:rRNA from 1 species
GAUGAACGCUGGCGGCGUGCUUAACACAUGCAAGUCGAACGGUGAAGGCGGAGCUUGCUCUGCUGGAUCAGUGGCGAACGGGGGAGUAACACGUGAGCAAUCUGCCCCUGACUCUGGGAUAAGCGCUGGAAACGGCGUCUAAUACUGGAUACGAGCUGCGAAGGCAUCUUCAGCAGCUGUAAAGAACUUCGGUCAGGGAUGAGCUCGCGGCCUAUCAGCUUGUUGGUGAGGUAACGGCUCACCAAGGCGUCGACGGGUAGCCGGCCUGAGAGGGUGACCGGCCACACUGGGACUGAGACACGGCCCAGACUCCUACGGGAGGCAGCAGUGGGGAAUAUUGCACAAUGGGCGAAAGCCUGAUGCAGCAACGCCGCGUGAGGGACGACGGCCUUCGGGUUGUAAACCUCUUUUAGCAGGGAAGAAGCGAAAGUGACGGUACCUGCAGAAAAAGCGCCGGCUAACUACGUG